rnacentral:misc_RNA from 1 species
AACUUUCAGCAAUGGAUCUCUUGGCGCUCGCAUCGAUGAAGAACGCAGCGAAAUGCGAUAAGUAAUGUGAAUUGCAGAAUUCAGUGAAUCAUCGAAUCUUUGAACGCACCUUGCGCUCCUUGGUAUUCCGAGGAGCAUGCCUGUUUGAGUGUCAGUAAUAUUCUCAAACCCUGACCGGCCUUUGUGGCUGCUUCGGGGAUUGGAUGUGGAGGCCAAUGCUGGACUUUGUGUUAAGGUCAGCUCCUCUGAAAUGCAUUAGUAGAAUGGUUUGCAAUUCUAUCAAUGGUUGUGAUAAUUAUCAACACCAAAGAGAGUUGCUUUCUGUCAUGUUCUGCUUCUAAUCAAUGUAUCCCCUUUGGGAACAUAUUGCUGAAUUCUUGACCUCAAAUCAGGUAGGACUACCCGCUGAACUUAAGCAUAUCAAUAAAGCGGAGGCU